AUCAAGAGUAGACUCCUAAAGAGGGGUCGGCUCCUCACAGAACUAUUUUUCUAUUUGAAAUUGCGAGUCGACUCCUCCAGAUUCGAGAAUCGAAAAAAUAAUUCAAGGAGUUUAGAUUCAAAGAAAAAUUGACUCAAAUUAAAUAUGGAUCAAUAGUAAAUCAAAUUAAUAAUCAAGAAAGAUAUUCAAAUCAAUUUAGAAAAUCAAAAAUUAAUCAAUUGAGGGUAUGAUAAUUAGUCAAAUUAAAUCAAGG
rnacentral:lncRNA from 1 species